CGGACGGGUGAGUAAUGUCUGGGAAACUGCCUGAUGGAGGGGGAUAACUACUGGAAACGGUAGCUAAUACCGCAUAACGUCGCAAGACCAAAGAGGGGGACCUUCGGGCCUCUUGCCAUCGGAUGUGCCCAGAUGGGAUUAGCUAGUAGGUGGGGUAAAGGCUCACCUAGGCGACGAUCCCUAGCUGGUCUGAGAGGAUGAUCAGCCACACUGGGACUGAGACACGGCCCAG
rnacentral:rRNA from 1 species